UCUAUUUGAAGGUAUAAAUAGUCUAGCCUGCUCACUGAUAUAAUAUUAUUUAAGAGCCGCGGUAUUUUGACCGUGCAAAGGUAGCAUAAUCAUUAGAGGUUUAAUUGGAAUCUGGUAUGAAGGGUUGGACAAAGGAAAAACUGUCUUUAUGUUAUAAAUUGAAGUUUACCUUUAAGUGAAAAGGCUUAAAUGAAUCAGAGGGACGAUAAGACCCUAUAAAGCUUUAUAAGUAAUUUAAAUUUGAUUGAUUUAGGUCAUAAAAAUUGAAUUUAAUUAUCUUAUUUUAUUGGGGUGAUAUGAGUAUAAAUGAUGUUAACUAUUUAUAAAAAAUACUGUUAUAAGAGAGUUAUAAAAUUGAUGAUCCUUUAUAAAGAUUAAGAGAUUAAGUUACUUUAGGGAUAACAGCGUUAUUUCUUUUGAGAGUUCAUAUCGAAAAAGAAGAUUGCGACCUCGAUGUUGAAUUAAAAUAUCUAUAUAAUGCAGC
rnacentral:rRNA from 10 species